rnacentral:rRNA from 1 species
GAUGAACGCUGGCGGCGUGCCUAAUACAUGCAAGUCGAGCGAACGGAUUAAGAGCUUGCUCUUAUGAAGUUAGCGGCGGACGGGUGAGUAACACGUGGGUAACCUGCCCAUAAGACUGGGAUAACUCCGGGAAACCGGGGCUAAUACCGGAUAACAUUUUGAACCGCAUGGUUCGAAAUUGAAAGGCGGCUUCGGCUGUCACUUAUGGAUGGACCCGCGUCGCAUUAGCUAGUUGGUGAGGUAAAGGCUCACCAAGGCAACGAUGCGUAGCCGACCUGAGAGGGUGAUCGGCCACACUGGGACUGAGACACGGCCCAGACUCCUACGGGAGGCAGCAGUAGGGAAUCUUCCGCAAUGGACGAAAGUCUGACGGAGCAACGCCGCGUGAGUGAUGAAGGCUUUCGGGUCGUAAAACUCUGUUGUUAGGGAAGAACAAGUGCUAGUUGAAUAAGCUGGCACCUUGACGGUACCUGACCAGAAAGCCACGGCUAACUACGUGCCAGCAGCCGCCGUAA